UAGCUAGUUGGUGAGGUAACGGCUUACCAAGGCGACGAUCUGUAGCGGGUCUGAGAGGAUGAUCCGCCACACUGGAACUGAGACACGGUCCAGACUCCUAUGGGAGGCAGCAGUGGGGAAUUUUGGACAAUGGGGGCAACCCUGAUCCAGCCAUGCCGCGUGAGUGAAGAAGGCCUUCGGGUUGUAAAGCUCUUUCGGCCGGGAAGAAAUCGCAUGGGCCAAUACCCUGUGUGGAUGACGGUACCGGAAUAAGAAGCACCGGCUAACUACGUGCCAGCAGCCGCGGUAAUACGUAGGGUGCGAGCGUUAAUCGGAAUUACUGGGCGUAAAGCGUGCGCAGGCGGUUUUGUAAGACAGGCGUGAAAUCCCCGGGCUCAACCUGGGAACUGCGUUUGUGACUGCAAGGCUAGAGUACGGCAGAGGGGGGUGGAAUUCCACGCGUAGCAGUGAAAUGCGUAGAGAUGUGGAGGAACACCAAUGGCGAAUUCAGCCCCCUGGGUCGAUACUGACGCUCAUGCACGAAAGCGUGGGUAGCAAACAGGAUUAGAUACCCUGGUAGUCCACGCCCUAAACUAUGUCAACUAGGUGUUGGGUGGGUAAAACCAUUUAGUACCGUAGCUAACGCGUGAAGUUGACCGCCUGGGGAGUACGGCCGCAAGGUUAAAACUCAAAGGAAUUGACGGGGACCCGCACAAGCGGUGGAUGAUGUGGAUUAAUUCGAUGCAACGCGAAAAACCUUACCUACCCUUGACAUGCCAGGAACUUGCCAGAGAUGGCUUGGUGCCCGAAAGGGAGCCUGGACACAGGUGCUGCAUGGCUGUCGUCAGCUCGUGUCGUGAGAUGUUGGGUUAAGUCCCGCAACGAGCGCAACCCUUGUCGUUAAUUGCCAUCAUUUAGUUGGGCACUUUAGCGAGACUGCCGGUGACAAACCGGAGGAAGGUGGGGAUGACGUCAAGUCCUCAUGGCCCUUAUGGGUAGGGCUUCACACGUCAUACAAUGGUCGGUACAGAGGGUCGCCAAGCCGCGAGGUGGAGCCAAUCCCAGAAAGCCGAUCGUAGUCCGGAUUGCAGGCUGCAACUCGCCUGCAUGAAGUCGGAAUCGCUAGUAAUCGUGGAUCAGCAUGUCACGGUGAAUACGUUCCCGGGUCUUGUACACACCGCCCGUCACACCAUGGGAGCGGGUUCCGCCAGAAGUGGGUAGCCUAACCGCAAGGAGGGCGCUUACCACGGCGGGGUUCGUGACUGGGGUGAAGUCGAAACAAGGUAGCCGUAGGGGAACCUGCGGCUG
rnacentral:rRNA from 1 species